rnacentral:lncRNA from 1 species
GCCUUCCUGGUUAAUCAUGAGCUGGAAUCUGAAAUCCUCACGGUGGCAUCAAGGCAUAUGGUGACACAGAUUUUUACACAUGAAGUAACCAAACCCGUGCAUGGUGACCAGUCAGUUCCCAACGGACCAGGCUACUUAGAACUUUUCAGCACGAUGGAAGCUUGUCAGCAGGGAAGGAGUUUCCUGGCUGACACGGAACAGAGAGGGGCCAGCCAGGUGCUUAACGAAGCCAUGUUUUCAGCCUGAGUGCACAGAAACCAGGAGGUGGUUGUCUGAUGAGCAGGAGACAGCAUGAAGCCAGUAACAACAGCAUUGACCUAUAAGGUCUGUUAGACUCCAGGGAAAUCUCGACAGCAGCAUCCCUCGAGGCAGUCUCUACAUACAACUCCUGGAUGGGUUUCUGCUCUUAGACAAAUGGAGACUGACCUCGGUAAAUGCAGAGGCUAUUUGGAUUUAUCUGUAGACCAUGCACUUUGACUUCUGAAAGAAGCUGAGUUGAAAAGAAGACUUAAAUAAAUGUUUAACUCAACUGUCUGUGGAAUCAUCUGUGGAUAGAUAGAAGGAGCAGGUCCAG